UUUACAUAUAUUAAUUCAAUUACCCUUAAAACUUCUGAAGUAGGUACUCCUAUUAUCCUAUUUUAUAAAUGAGGAAACAGGCUGAGAUAGGUUCAGACACCCACCCCCGCUGCAUGUGCACACGUGCCACACACACACACACACACACACACACACACAUCCACAACAGUCAUACACUUAGCAAGGAGACAGUCUGAACCCAAGCACUGUGACUCAAGCCUUCAGUUCCACCCACUGUGUGGUUCUCAUCCCAGCAGUGGCACAUCCUCUUCAGUUAGAUGGUUUACACAGUAUUGCUUUAACUGAUUCCACUCAUAAGGCUCUAGCCCAGACUUUAAGGAGUGACAGUGGGGAGAGAAGAGUAAAAGAGACUGGCAAGGUAGAGACACAGGAAAGAAAGAGAGGGAGAUGGAAAAGGCCAGUGGGUGACAGCGCUUACUAGACUGUAAGCUCAUUGUGAGCAGGGAUCCAGGAAUCUCAUGAUAUCUGUCACCAAGUAUUCAUUCAAGAAAUAUUUAUGAAGGACUUGAAUGGUUGAAAUCAGGAAGCAGCAGGAACCUUUCCAGAGAUCUAAGAAUGAGGGGAGAAGCAAUGGUAGCUAGGCAAGGAAGGAUAGAAACUUGAGAGAAGGAGAAACAUUAGUAAAAGUAACACAGAUGAGGAAGAGAAACGGAAUAAAGGAUAUAUAAGACUAUUAAUUUCACUGGCAAUUUUCAAGUGAAAUAUUUAAAAACUAUUUUUCCAUGAAAUUGGCAGGAAGUAAAAUUUUCUGCAAAUCCCAAAUACAUGUUGCUGAAGCAGCAAGUUUAGAUGAGCUAUUUAACCCCUUGCCAGGCCUAGCCAAGGUUUCUUCAGCAGUUAGACUAGUGCACCCCUGAAGGCAGAGUGGGAUUACUUAGUCGGAGGUUCUCUUGCAUUUGUGCUCUGUGACUGGUACAUGCCCCCUCACUCAUUCUCUCUCUGCUUGUUUUGUCUUCUCAAGCUGAGUUUCCUCCUUGCUGAUUGCUCUUUAGGCUUCACAUUUUUCCUUCCAUGCCAGUCUCAAAUCUGGCUCUUAGUUUCUCAGUAACACCUUCUUAGAAUCUCCUUGAACUGCACAGUAUCCUUAGAAUCUGUCUCAUCUCACUAAGUUAAAAUCACUCCCUCUUCCAAGUCACUCUUUUAGUUUACAAUCUCCCCUCUUUAAAAAAAAUUAAGUUUUAUUGAGAUAUGUUACAUACCAUAAAAUUGACCCAUUAAAGUGUACAGUUCAGUGGUUUUAGUACAUUCAUGAAGUUUUAUAACAUUACUAAUCCUCCCUCUUUCUGAUUGCCUUUCCUCUCAUGAGUAUCUCUUUUGAAGAUUACAAAUGGAAGCUCAUACAUUGUGCCUAUAACUUUAACAAGCACGUGAGAUUUAUAUAUCCAAAUAUGUAUGUUUCAACAAUGUGCCAUUGCAUUAAUCAUAUUUGAAUACUUCUUGUGAGUUACUCUGAGAAUUGUCCUACAUUCUUCUGCAUAUUCUCAGUGGUGAAAAUUCUUGUCCUAUGUGGAUUUGAUUUUUGGAAACUUGUAAGAGUCACCCGGAAUGGAACCUUGUAACAGGUGUUGUGAAGCAGAAAGCUGGGUGAUAAAGUUUUUGGUGAAAAGUGAGAUAAGAUCCUAAAGUAGUGGGUUGAAAUUUUCUGAUGUGACUGGAAAACUAGCUUUAUAAGUUCUAAAAUAGUAUUUAGAAGUGUGAAGUGUGACUGGCACAAAGUUAUAGUCUCCCUAGGGGGCUUGUCUGAAGGGCUGAACUUGUCUGAUACUUCUUAUUCUGCACGUGCUUACGGGUGUGUUGGAAGAAGUAGGUUAAUCUCAAUACUUUAUAGUUGUUCUUCCUAUAGUUUAAUUUAUAAAAUAAAUGAGCCCAAUUUUUCUUGCUUCAUUGAGGAAAAAUGUUUAUAUGCAUAGAGGAAGAAGGGAAAUAAAAAACUAGCCCAAUAGAGACCAGCUAAAUCUGUUGUUUUUCUAGUUUACAACUUCCAUAGGAUGGGGAAGGCUUAUAGGUUUAUUUUGAAAAGGACUUGAGCUUAAGUCCUAUGGCUGGAGAGUAAAAAUAGAUGAUGAUAAUGUUUAGCAAUUAAUUAGCAGAGUAGAUGAUUUUGUGAUUAAAGAAAGUUAAAAUGUUACUCCAGAUUAACUGUUAACUAGAAAACUUUUGCAGUUUUGUGGUUUUAUGUAACAUCUCUUCAAUUAAAGAUGAUCUUAAGCACUACCAAGCUGAAUAAGAGACAAACCUAUCAAGCUCCUUGUCAAUUCUUUCCUGCUGCUGUUUUAGAAGUUUUAUUUCUUCAUUAAUUCUGAGCUUUUCCCUAUAAAGUUAAAGUUUGAAGUUAAAUUUUAAAAUAAUGCAGGCAUUACUAAUUGGGAAAGAAUAAAUCAACAAUUUACUGAUAUACACGUGUUAGUAAAAGCCCUCUACAAACCAAUUCAUUCCCUCCCUAUGCACUAUUUAGUGUAAAGAACCCCUCAGCACAUUCCCUGUUACAAACAUAUGCCAAAGGUAUCACCCACAACACCUGAGUACAGCUGGACUCCACCUUCUGCUACCACAGGGGCCCUCUAGAAAGGUGUCCAUCCGUUUUUCCCACUAAGCACAGGAAGUCUAAG
rnacentral:lncRNA from 1 species